GGGCAUUGGAUUUCGUGGUUCAUGAUUACGUUCUCAUGCCCUUUCUUGAUAGGUAUGUCAAGAAAGUGCCACUGGCAGCAGAGAUGCUCGAUGUGAGAAGAAACCAGAAGCUUGAGAUGGUUGAGGAACUGAAAAUUGAGAAAGAAAGAUUCAAACUUGAGAUGGAAAUUGGAAAGUCUCCUCCUCUUUCUGAUGAAGAGCUAUGGUGGGAAUUACGGAAUAGAGCGUUAACAUUGAGAGAUGAGUGGAGGUUAGAGAACCGUAAAGCAUUCGCCAACAUAUGGUCAG
rnacentral:misc_RNA from 1 species